GACGAACGCUGGCGGCGUGCCUAAUACAUGCAAGUCGAGCGAAGAAUUUCUGGUGCUUGCACUAGAAAUUCUUAGCGGCGAACGGGUGAGUAACACGUAAAGAACCUGCCUUAUAGACUGGGAUAACUACGGGAAACUGUAGCUAAUACCGGAUAACAACAUUUUCCGCAUGGGAGAUGUUUAAAAGUUGGUGAAGCUAACACUAUAAGAUGGCUUUGCGGAGCAUUAGCUAGUUGGUGGGAUAAAAGCCUACCAAGGCGACGAUGCAUAGCCGACCUGAGAGGGUGAACGGCCACAUUGGGACUGAGACACGGCCCAAACUCCUACGGGAGGCAGCAGUAGGGAAUCUUCCGCAAUGGACGAAAGUCUGACGGAGCAACGCCGCGUGAGUGAAGAAGGAUUUCGGUUCGUAAAGCUCUGUUGUUAGGGAAGAAAGGUUGUGUAGUAACUAUACACAAAACAGACGGUACCUAACCAGAAAGCCACGGCUAACUACGUGCCAGCAGCCGCGGUAAUACGUAGGUGGCAAGCGUUGUCCGGAAUUAUUGGGCGUAAAGCGCGCGCAGGUGGUUUAGAAAGUCUAAUGUGAAAGCCCACGGCUCAACCGUGGAAGGUCAUUGGAAACUGAUAAACUUGAGUGCAGGAGAGAAAAGUGGAAUUCCUAGUGUAGCGGUGAAAUGCGUAGAGAUUAGGAGGAACACCAGUGGCGAAGGCGGCUUUUUGGCCUGCAACUGACACUGAGGCGCGAAGGCGUGGGGAGCAAACAGG
rnacentral:rRNA from 1 species